CCUGGCCUGCUUGUUUUUUUGAGACAGAGUCUCGCUCUGUCGCCCAGGCUGGAGUUCAGUGGCACAAUCUCGGCUCACUGCAAGCUCCACCUCCUGGGUUCACGCCAUUCUCCUGCCUCAGCCUCCCGAGUCAGUAUUAACUCCUCACUCUAAUCAAAGAAGCUAUGAUAAUAUGAUGCAAAACAACUAUUAUAUUCUAUCCCCUUCCAAAGUGCUUUCAAAGACUAAAUUUGUCUUGAUACCAAUCCAUUUAUACCAACACAUCCCCACAUUUCUGAUGAUGAAACAGAUUCCUAGAGACUUUUACUCUUCUCCUGUUGGGGGCAUUUGAGUUUGGGGCUACGACAAAGAGUGCUGUUACAAAUUCUGUUUCGUUCCUUUCUGAUGAAUAUACGUGGGCGCUUUUUUUAUUUCUGCAGUCAACGAGUAUGUAUUGAAUGCCUGCCAUGUGCCAGUCCCCAGGGAUAGAGCAUGAAUAAAACAGACAAACCAUCCCCUGUCCUUGCGGAGCUGACCUUCCAGUGGGAGCUUAUUAUACGAGAAGUAAACUUUGGCAAUAUUGAGCCAUGGAGUUGUUUUUUUUUUUGUUUUUUUUUUUUUUUUUUUUUUGAGACGGAGUCUGGCUCUG
rnacentral:lncRNA from 1 species